UAAACCCAUGUGAACCUACCUUUGUUGCCUCGGCAGGUCUGCAACUUACCCUGAGGGGACCUACCCUGUAGGGACCUUACCCGGUAGUUGCCGGCAUAACCUGCCGGUGGUCUACUAAACUCUGUUUACUAUGUUAUUCUGAAUAAUAUAACUAAAUAAGUUAAAACUUUCAACAACGGAUCUCUUGGUUCUGGCAUCGAUGAAGAACGCAGCGAAAUGCGAUAAGUAAUGUGAAUUGCAGAAUUCAGUGAAUCAUCGAAUCUUUGAACGCACAUUGCGCCCAUUAGUAUUCUAGUGGGCAUGCCUGUUCGAGCGUCAUUUCAACCCUUAAGCCCUGUUGCUUAGCGUUGGGAGCCUACAGAUACCCUCUGUAGUUCCUUAAAGUUAGUGGCGGAGUCGGUUUCACACUCUAGACGUAGUAAAUUUUAUCUCGCCUAUAGAUGAGCCGGUCCCUUGCCGUAAAACCCCCUAAUUUCUAAAGGUUGACCUCGGAUCAGGUAGGAAUACCCGCUGAACUUAAGCAUAUCAAUAAGCGGAGGA
rnacentral:rRNA from 1 species